rnacentral:rRNA from 1 species
AACGAACGCUGGCGGCAUGCCUAACACAUGCAAGUCGAACGAGACCUUCGGGUCUAGUGGCGCACGGGUGCGUAACGCGUGGGAACCUGCCCUUAGGUUCGGAAUAACUCCCGGAAAGGGGUGCUAAUACCGGAUAAUGUCUUCGGACCAAAGAUUUAUCGCCUUUGGAUGGGCCCGCGUUGGAUUAGCUAGUUGGUAGGGUAAAAGCCUACCAAGGCGACGAUCCAUAGCUGGUCUGAGGGGAUGAUCAGCCACACUGGGACUGAGACACGGCCCAGACUCCUACGGGAGGCAGCAGUGGGGAAUAUUGGACAAUGGGCGAAAGCCUGAUCCAGCAAUGCCGCGUGAGUGAUGAAGGCCUUAGGGUUGUAAAGCUCUUUUACCCGGGAUGAUAAUGACAGUACCGGGAGAAUAAGCUCCGGCUAACUCCGUG